rnacentral:rRNA from 1 species
UACGUAGGGGGCUAGCGUUGCUCGGAAUCACUGGGCGUAAAGCGCACGUAGGCGGCUUUCUAAGUCAGGGGUGAAAUCCUGGAGCUCAACUCCAGAACUGCCUUUGAUACUGGAGAGCUUGAGUCCGGAAGAGGUGAGUGGAAUUCCCAGUGUAGCGGUGAAAUGCGUAGAUAUUGGGAGGAACACCAGUGGCGAAGGCGGCUCACUGGACCGGUUCUGACGCUGAGGCGCGAAAGCGUGGGGAGCAAACGGG